UCGGUCGGUGCGCUAAUUUAUUCGGUGGUGCGGUCGGUUUAGUCAUUUUUGCGAUUAAUUAGUGAUGUGUUUAGUGCUUUAAUUGAUAAGUGGAUACGUUUAUACCCUUUAAGAUGGUUAACGAGGAGCAAAUAAUUCUUAUAAAUACCUUGGAUACGUUUAGCCUGAUGACUCAAUGUACCAUUGGAAAGACGAUAAGGCAACAGGAAAAGGGCAUUAAAGGUGGGUUCAGAACGAGACUAGUUAAUCUGGCAACUGGCAACGCAAAGUGAGUUUUUCAACAAUCUG